GUCAAUAACCACCGUCCAAAUGAGCGUUGCUCACUUGGGCGAGGCUUGUAAUCGAAACAGCUCCUGUAGCUGGGGACGUUACAAAACCGAUUGAUUAGCCGCUGUCAGAUGCCUUCGGGCAUUUGGCAGAGCCGUUAUCCUGGAAAACAUAGGUACCAGUGGAUGCUCCACAAGUCCACUGCUCUACG
rnacentral:sRNA from 18 species